GUUCAUCUUCCUGUGCCCAUGAAGAAACAAACAAUGCCCCAUUCCUCUCUGCAACAAGGGGUGGGAAGUAGCAGAGACACAGUAAAAAAGCGAUAAGGACGACUAGAAUGUGGUCGUAGAUAUCGGUCGUGGACAUCGGGAGAUUAGCCCAGCGACAAACCUUGGUGCUGCUGGCAUGAUGGUCUUGUCACAUAACCAUCAGUGAGGUCACUCCAGCCACAGGGUCAGAAGCAAACUCAGCACUCAUGUCAGAACUUGUAAUCAGCCUCACCUACACGGUCAACACAGGUGCUGGCACAACUGUUGCAUGGAACAAUGUGCACCAGUCAGAACUAACACACAGAAGUGACCAGCAAUCAUGGUGGCCUUAGGAGCUGGUCUGUAUUAAGAGCUAUUGGACAUAUCCUCUAAAUAAUACAUAACACUAAUAACGAGAGCAUUCCUAUGAGCAACAACAAUCUUACACGUCCAGAGCAGAGCCUUGGGGCCCAGUGUAACAUUAGAUAUUUAUUUGUACUUAGAGAUAUUAUCCACAGAAGGUAUCAUGUAUUAUAAAAACAUUAUCUUUAAAAAUAAAACUAUUGCCUACCCUAGUUUGGCUACACAAUAUAUUAACUUAAUAAAUGUAAUGUAAUGCAUGUAUGUUCCCUAUACUACACUAUUGAUAACUUUAUAUUUACAUUGUAAGUAUUAAGGAAAAUACUGGGAUCAUAAUUAAAAAGGGCAGUAGACUUCUUACUAUAGAUUAUAUCACAGCAAUAUGGAUGCUUCGGAGGGAAAGCAAUAUAAGUUCCAAAUAAUGUGUUAAUCUGCUCCAGCUUCUGUACACAACGAAGUUUCAACAUUAUGCAACACAUUAAGUAACCAGUGUAUAUCUUUAGCACUCAUCAGUUUCCAUCAUGUCAAUAAAUACAAACAGCUCCAUCUACUCUAUCAAAACAGUAUAAAAAUGUAAACCCUAAUCCAGUCACUCUCACACUAUAAUUCCUACAUACAAUACAUUUGGACCAAAGUCAGUACACACACAUAACCAUUAUCUUACAUGAGAAAAUACAGUUUUCAUCCAUUCACCCACAUAAAGCACCACCUUCAGGUUCCUACACCACAAGAAAAGUGUAUCAACCACUUCACACAAGAAUAAUUCCU